GAGUAUGAGUGGGCUGCUUUGGACAAAUGGACUUGGAGUGAGGGAGGGGGAACCAAAAGAGGCUGCUGUUACAGCAAGAACCCCGCUCCUGGCCAGAGUUGGGGGAUGUGAGAAGAUGGUGAAAUCCCUUAGAUGUAAGUGUUCAACAUGCCAUCUGAAGGAUUUACCAAAGACACAAAAAGCAAAGAAGUUAUGCCAGAACAGGAACAGGAAGACAAGUCAGCAGCAAAUGUCAGUGCUCUGGUUGAAGCCGCUGCUUGAAUCCAUGUUUUUCCACAUCGUGUUUUCUUCCAUGGCCAGUGAAAAGAAAAACCUCUUUUGGUGCAGGCCCAAGACCACCAUAAUCAUCAUUGAUUUUUCCUCUCUGCCUCAGGUCUCUAAAUAAAGUUCCUCUCCUUUCACUGACAAA